rnacentral:rRNA from 1 species
CCUACGGGUGGCUGCAGUAGGGAAUCUUUCACAAUGGGCGAAAGCCUGAUGGAGCAACGCCGCGUGCAGGAUGAAGGCCUUCGGGUUGUAAACUGCUUUUAUAAGCGAGAAAUAUGAUGGUAACUUAUGAAUAAGGAUCGGCUAACUACGUGCCAGCAGCCGCGGUCAUACGUAGGAUCCGAGCGUUAUCCGGAGUGACUGGGUGUAAAGAGUGGCGUAGGUGGCAUAAUAAGUAGCGCGUGAAAUCUGGUGGCUCAACCAUUCAGACUAUUAGCGAAACUGUUAAGCUCGAGACCGUUAGGGGUAAGUGGAAUUUCUAGUGUAGGAGUGAAAUACGUAGAUAUUAGAAGGAACACCAAUAGCGUAGGCAGGUUGCUGGGACGAUUCUGACACUAAGGCACGAAAGCGUAGGGAGCAAACGGGAUUAGAUACCCCUGUAGUC